UACGAAGGGGGCUAGCGUUGCUCGGAAUCACUGGGCGUAAAGCGCACGUAGGCGGACUCUUAAGUCGGUGGUGAAAUCCUGGAGCUCAACUCCAGAACUGCCUUCGAUACUGGCAAUCUCGAGUCCGGAAGAGGUUGGUGGAACAGCUAGUGUAGAGGUGAAAUUCGUAGAUAUUCGCAAGAACACCAGUGGCGAAGGCGGCUCACUGGCCCGAUACUGACGCUGAGGCACGAAAGCGUGGGGAGCAAACAGG
rnacentral:rRNA from 1 species